GACGAACCGAGCGAACGUUGUUCGGAAUCACUGGGCUUAAAGGGCGCGUAGGCGGGUGCUCAAGUCCGGGGUGAAAUCCUCCAGCCCAACUGGAGAACUGCCUCGGAUACUGGGUGCCUCGAGGGUGGUAGGGGUAUGCGGAACUAUCGGUGGAGCGGUGAAAUGCGUUGAUAUCGAUAGGAACUCCGGUGGCGAAGGCGGCAUACUGGACCACAUCUGACGCUGAGGCGCGAAAGCCAGGGGAGCAAACGGG
rnacentral:rRNA from 1 species